GCCUACACAUGCAAGUCGAGCGGAAACGAGUUAUCUGAACCUUCGGGGAACGAUAACGGCGUCGAGCGGCGGACGGGUGAGUAAUGCCUAGGAAAUUGCCCUGAUGUGGGGGAUAACCAUUGGAAACGAUGGCUAAUACCGCAUGAUGCCUACGGGCCAAAGAGGGGGACCUUCGGGCCUCUCGCGUCAGGAUAUGCCUAGGUGGGAUUAGCUAGUUGGUGAGGUAAGGGCUCACCAAGGCGACGAUCCCUAGCUGGUCUGAGAGGAUGAUCAGCCACACUGGAACUGAGACACGGUCCAGACUCCUACGGGAGGCAGCAGUGGGGAAUAUUGCACAAUGGGCGCAAGCCUGAUGCAGCCAUGCCGCGUGUAUGAAGAAGGCCUUCGGGUUGUAAAGUACUUUCAGUCGUGAGGAAGGCGGCGUCGUUCGAAUAGCGGCGUUGUUUGACGUUAGCGACAGAAGAAGCACCGGCUAACUCCGUGCCAGCAGCCGCGGUAAUACGGAGGGUGCGAGCGUUAAUCGGAAUUACUGGGCGUAAAGCGCAUGCAGGUGGUUUGUUAAGUCAGAUGUGAAAGCCCGGGGCUCAACCUCGGAAUAGCAUUUGAAACUGGCAGACUAGAGUACUGUAGAGGGGGGUAGAAUUUCAGGUGUAGCGGUGAAAUGCGUAGAGAUCUGAAGGAAUACCGGUGGCGAAGGCGGCCCCCUGGACAGAUACUGACACUCAGAUGCGAAAGCGUGGGGAGCAAACAGGAUUAGAUACCCUGGUAGUCCACGCCGUAAACGAUGUCUACUUGGAGGUUGUGGGCCUUGAGCCGUGGCUUUCGGAGCUAACGCGUUAAGUAGACCGCCUGGGGAGUACGGUCGCAAGAUUAAAACUCAAAUGAAUUGACGGGGGCCCGCACAAGCGGUGGAGCAUGUGGUUUAAUUCGAUGCAACGCGAAGAACCUUACCUACUCUUGACAUCCAGAGAACUUUCCAGAGAUGGAUUGGUGCCUUCGGGAACUCUGAGACAGGUGCUGCAUGGCUGUCGUCAGCUCGUGUUGUGAAAUGUUGGGUUAAGUCCCGCAACGAGCGCAACCCUUAUCCUUGUUUGCCAGCGAGUAAUGUCGGGAACUCCAGGGAGACUGCCGGUGAUAAACCGGAGGAAGGUGGGGACGACGUCAAGUCAUCAUGGCCCUUACGAGUAGGGCUACACACGUGCUACAAUGGCGCAUACAGAGGGCGGCCAACUUGCGAAAGUGAGCGAAUCCCAAAAAGUGCGUCGUAGUCCGGAUUGGAGUCUGCAACUCGACUCCAUGAAGUCGGAAUCGCUAGUAAUCGUGGAUCAGAAUGCCACGGUGAAUACGUUCCCGGGCCUUGUACACACCGCCCGUCACACCAUGGGAGUGGGCUGCAAAAGAAGUAGGUAGUUUAACCUUCGGGGGGACGCUUACCACUU
rnacentral:rRNA from 1 species